UACGAAGGGUGCAAGCGUUGUUCGGAAUUACUGGGCGUAAAGCGCGCGUAGGCGGGCUUGUAAGUCGAUUGUGAAAGCCCUGGGCUUAACCUGGGAAUGGCAGUCGAAACUGCAAGUCUUGAAUGUCUGAGAGGAUGGCGGAAUUCCCGGUGUAGUAGUGAAAUACGUAGAUAUCGGGAAGAACACCCGUGGCUAAGGCGGCUCUCUAGUACGGUACUGACGCUGAGACGCGAAAGCGUGGGGAGCGAACAGG
rnacentral:rRNA from 1 species